CCACACCAAGUUGAAACAUUGGUUCCCAUAAGAUCACUGAAAUUAAGCAACGUCAAGCCUGGUCAGUACUUAGAUGUGUGACCACUUAGGAAUACCAGGUGCUGUAAG